rnacentral:lncRNA from 1 species
CCGCCAUUUCGGUGCUUGUGAUUACUCUUUUAUUAUCGUUGUAAAAUCAGCCAUAAAAUGAAGUUAAUUUCAAGAUGAGUUUAUAACGAUCUGCUGCACGUUUAUUAACUUGCUACCUCUUUUGGUGAGGCACCCGCGGAAACCGUUAACUAGUCGUCAGUCAUUUUCUUUCGCGGCUCCAAUCCAGUAGUCCAAACAUCCAGCAAAAUGCAGUCCUCUUCAAGUCGCGUUGUGUCUUCUUCUUGUUGUAACUCUGGUUAGUAGCAAGUCCACUCGUGGAGUUUUUAUUCAGUUUGAGUAUCUCAAGAAUGGCACAGAUUGUCGGUGGUCCACUUCACCAAAAUUCUAAGUUUUUGAGGUUUUUGCCCAAACGGCGCCCGCAGCUCUUGACGGAGGUAAUACAGAAGGAAUAGAAAAGGUGGAGUAAGUAUUAAGGUCUGCGCCAAAUGUAUCGAUGAAUGUCAGGCCGUUGGUAACCCAUUGGAAUACUGUGAAAUCCAGCGGUGUGCAAGUUUUUGCCGAGCAACAUAAAAUUAUGGUGAGUUAAAAUUCAAUUCAGUCCUAAAGUAAAAUCGUGCACAGUUUUACCACGCAGAAGAAACGUAUCUAAAGGAUUGCGUAAUUAUAUUCUCCUAUUUAAUCUCGCAAGAAAUACUCGAUUAUCAAAGAUGAUGUUUAUCUAUUACUUAAAUUUUAAAUCAAUGUUCAUGCUAAAAAAAUAUCUUAUAACUUAGAUAGUAAUAAGGAACAUGCAGAGGCUAAGUGAUUAGCAUACAAAUAGCGUUGAUAAAAUAGAAAAACUAAAAUUAUGGAGCAUCAGGAAUGACGGGUAGUUCAUAAAAAGUAAAGACCCUAUAAGCCAGUAUAAGCAAUGUGUGGUGGAUGUAACGUUAAUAUUUUUUCGAAUGUUAAGCUUUUGGAGCAAGUAGGAUUUUUUUGGUCUACUUAAAGGGAAAUGAAAGGCAAAAACUCAGAGGGUGAAACCAGUCGAUUUGAAGUAUGGAUAACAUCAUGAACCUAUUAAUCGAUUGCUUGGUUUUAUCAAUGUCACGGCAUUUAUCGCAUCUUGUGUUGUCUCGUGUUUCAUUUUGAUGGCAGUUUGU